ensembl:lncRNA
AAUCAAGUCCCUGCAAUGACGUUUGCAUUUCUAGACAACAGAGAAAGACUGACUGAAUGGACAACUUAUCUGAAUAAAUAUGCUGUAACAACCAAAAGGAUUUGGAUUGGAAAUGUGAGGGCGUUCUUGCAAUUUCUGAUUGAUGCACAACUGCCAGAGGUCAGAGCCUCCCGUAAGGCUUUAAAGGGAACUUUAUUUGCACUUCAGUCAGAAAUGAAGAAGAGCAGAAGGGAGUUACAAACCCACAGGCAAGACAUCCGGAUCAAAAAAUCACAAAUGCUUGUAGAUCCUGUCCACAUCACUGAUUUUCUCAAGAAAGCCACCACACACAUCCCUGAAG